rnacentral:piRNA from 1 species
ACGGAAGGUUGGAGAUGUGGAUCAGA